AUUGAACGCUGGCGGCAGGCCUAACACAUGCAAGUCGAACGAGUGGCGGACGGGUGAGUAAUGUCUGGGAAACUGCCUGAUGGAGGGGGAUAACUACUGGAAACGGUAGCUAAUACCGCAUACCAUCGGAUGUGCCCAGAUGUGAUUAGCUAGUAGGUGGGGUAACGGCGCACCUAGGGGACGAGCCCUAGCUGGUCUGAGAGGAUGACCAGCCACACUGGAACGCAGACACGGUCCAGACUCCUACGGGAGGCAGCAGUGGGGAAUAUUGCACAAUGGGCGCAAGCCUGAUGCAGCCAUGCCGCGUGUAUGAAGAAGGCCUUCGGGUUGUAAAGUACUUUCAGCGGGGAGGCGUUACUCGCAGAAGAAGCACCGGCUAACUCCGUGCCAGCCGCCGCGGUAAUAC
rnacentral:rRNA from 1 species